CUUCAUUCUUUCUGGAGAGAUUAAUAAUUGCCCUCUGCUCUUCCCCAAUAGCAUGUUGGACACCUUACGACCUGGAGGACUCAUCAUCUGGUGUCAUAUCUUUUUGCCUUUUCAUACUGGUCAUGUGGCUUUCUUGAAACAAGGAAUAUU